rnacentral:rRNA from 1 species
UCGAGGGGUAUUGUUCUUCGGAAUAAGAGACCGGCGCACGGGUGCGUAACGCGUAUGUAAUCUACCUUUUGCAGAGGGAUAGCCCAGAGAAAUUUGGAUUAAUACCUCAUAGUAUGUGAGAAUGGCAUCAUUUUCACAUUAAAGUCACAACGGCAAAAGAUGAGCAUGCGUCCCAUUAGCUAGUUGGUAAGGUAACGGCUUACCAAGGCUACGAUGGGUAGGGGUCCUGAGAGGGAGAUCCCCCACACUGGUACUGAGACACGGACCAGACUCCUACGGGAGGCAGCAGUGAGGAAUAUUGGACAAUGGGCGCAAGCCUGAUCCAGCCAUGCCGCGUGCAGGAUGACGGUCCUAUGGAUUGUAAACUGCUUUUGCACAGGAAGAAACAACGCUACGUGUAGCGUCUUGACGGUACUGUGAGAAUAAGGAUCGGCUAACUCCGUGCCAGCAGCCGCGGUAAUACGGAGGAUCCAAGCGUUAUCCGGAAUCAUUGGGUUUAAAGGGUCCGUAGGCGGUUUAGUAAGUCAGUGGUGAAAGCCCAUCGCUCAACGGUGGAACGGCCAUUGAUACUGCUAGACUUGAAUUAUUAGGAAGUAACUAGAAUAUGUAGUGUAGCGGUGAAAUGCUUAGAGAUUACAUGGAAUACCAAUUGCGAAGGCAGGUUACUACUAAUGGAUUGACGCUGAUGGACGAAAGCGUGGGUAGCGA